ensembl:lncRNA PARAIL palmitic acid regulated anti-inflammatory lncRNA
GUCUCGAACUCCUGACCUCAGGUGAUCUGCCCACCCCAGCCUCCCAAAGUGCUGGGAUUACAUGUGUGAGCCACCACACCCAGCCCUUAAAAAAUUACUUCUUGGAGUGGGUUGUAUUUAAAUUUUUUAAAAACCACCAAUGAAGUGGUUAAGAAUAUAGGCUUUAGCAACAGGGCUACCUGAGUUUAUUCUCAGUUCUUUAUUUUACCAGCUCUGUGAUCUUGAGUAUAUUACUUACUGUUUUUACCUCAGUUACCUCAUUUAUAGGAUCCUAUCUCAUAGGGACUUUUGAGGAGUAAAUGAAUUCAUUCAAGUUAAGCACUUUGAACAGUGCCUUAGUAAUUAACAAUUAGCUAAUGUUACUUUCCCAAUGUUAUGUGGGUUAGUAAGUGGUAAAACCUACCAGAUUCCCAUUCUGUCUGACAAAGUCUAGUCUCUUAGCUACUGUGUGUCGCUGCCUGAGUGUGAAAUCUAAAGCAAUUUUACAGUAAUUUAUGUGGCCCCUCAAAACAAACAAAUCAACAAAAUUAAAAAGUCUCCCUUUAUAAUAAAUGGUACCAGUACAUGAAAAUACUGGGGAUGCCUUUUUCUCAGGGACUUGGCUGAUUUGGCAUAACCUUAUCUCUGAGGGAAAACAAGUUUUGUGACUUGUUCCACUCUGAAUUUCAAGAGAGGAAUAUGUGGAAGGUACUGAGUGCUUUUGACAUAUAGAGAACAAAGCGAUGACUCACUUAAACCCUGAUAGUAGGGGCACCAUAUAAAUUAUUAUAUCUAAAGGGAGUCAGGUCAAAGAAGAAAUCUUGCAAGAAUCUGGAGGGAGAUCUGUUGUCUAAAAGCUUAUUAGGUGACUAGGGUAUCGGUUUUGCUAGUGUUUGUUUUUAUCUUGUUUUUUCCCUUCCUCAGUUCCAGCAGGCAUUUUAGUGAUCUCUUGAAACACGUUUUGACUCUACUUGGUGAUUGAAAUACACAGCCAGGCUGUGUUGCUUUUAUAAGCUCUGAAAGUUUAAGAAUUUAGGAAGCUAAUGACUGUCUUAAAUUACAGUUAAAUCUAAUUGAUAAAAUCCUGGGACAUUGAACGAUUGAUUUUAGUAUUCAGCUAAUAACCCAUUUAAAAUGAAUUCCAUACUUCUUUCAACUUGCUUGACUGAAGAGUAAUUUUGUCGCUAGUUACUGUAUUACUGGAAAAUGUAUUCCUAGGCUUUAAGAUUUGGGAAGCGUGUGAGUCUAACUUCUCAAACAGAAUUUGACAAGGACGUAGCAGUGUUUUAAAAAGUCAGGGAAAGGAAAGAGGUGUGUUCAGCAUUCCUGCCCCAUCUUAACAUAUUCUUUUUCUCGUCUUAACAGUGGUAAUAUUUUAUGUUAUUUUGGUUUGAUUUUUGUUUGUGGCAUAUGGCUCUGCUGUCCUGUGACUCUAAGUAGAAGAGAAAAUAGUGCCAAUAAUUCUUCAUGGAGAUGCACCUCUCUCAAGUCUUGAACAAUGUUUGAGGAAAAGUGCUUUCAGCUGGGCUGAUGAGAACACCUUGGCACUCUUUCCUGCAAUGGGCACUGAUUGAGGGUCUUCCUGGUGUGGCAUCAUCAAAUCCCUGUUGCUCAAACCCACUAAUUAGCUCAUUCUUAUCUACAAGUAGCAGGGGCCCUAAAGCUCUCUGAGAAGAUCUCAUACUGUGUCUCCUACAUUUCAUCUUCUAUAAUCUCUUAUUCUUAGAGACAGAAAGAUGGUUAAAAGACAUCACUUCAUUUCUUUCUCUGGAUUUGGAAAGAGUUAUAUAUUGGGAUUAUGCUGUUAGUUUACACUUGCAUUGUUUAAAUUAGAGGAAAGGUUAUUUUGUGCAGAACAAAUAAAAAUUACUCUUUAACUACCUUUCAGAAUAUCCCAACUUUUAACAUAAGCUGUUUUGUAAAGGCUGGUUGUAGUGACUUGCUUCAUAAUAGAC